rnacentral:rRNA from 1 species
UGGCUCAGGACGAACGCUGGCGGCGUGCUUAACAUUAUGCAAGUCGAACGGAAAGGCCCUGCUUUUGUGGGGUGCUCGAGUGGCGAACGGGUGAGUAACACGUGAGUAACCUGCCCUUGACUUUGGGAUAACUUCAGGAAACUGGGGCUAAUACCGGAUAGGAGCUCCUGCUGCAUGGUGGGGGUUGGAAAGUUUCGGCGGUUGGGGAUGGACUCGCGGCUUAUCAGCUUGUUGGUGGGGUAGUGGCUUACCAAGGCUUUGACGGGUAGCCGGCCUGAGAGGGUGACCGGCCACAUUGGGACUGAGAUACGGCCCAGACUCCUACGGGAGGCAGCAGUGGGGAAUAUUGCACAAUGGGCGGAAGCCUGAUGCAGCAACGCCGCGUGCGGGAUGACGGCCUUCGGGUUGUAAACCGCUUUCGCCUGUGACGAAGCGUGAGUGACGGUAAUGGGUAAAGAAGCACCGGCUAACUACGUGCCAGCAGCCGCGGUGAUACGUAGGGUGCGAGCGUUGUCCGGAUUUAUUGGGCGUAAAGGGCUCGUAGGUGGUUGAUCGCGUCGGAAGUGUAAUCUUGGGGCUUAACCCUGAGCGUGC